rnacentral:rRNA from 1 species
GAUGAACGCUGGCGGCGUGCCUAAUACAUGCAAGUCGAGCGAACAGAUAAGGAGCUUGCUCCUUUGACGUUAGCGGCGGACGGGUGAGUAACACGUGGGUAACCUACCUAUAAGACUGGAAUAACUCCGGGAAACAGGGGCUAAUGCCGGAUAACAUUUAGAACCGCAUGGUUCUAAAGUGAAAGAUGGUUUUGCUAUCACUUAUAGAUGGACCCGCGCCGUAUUAGCUAGUUGGUAAGGUAACGGCUUACCAAGGCAACGAUACGUAGCCGACCUGAGAGGUUGAUCGGCCACACUGGAACUGAGACACGGUCCAGACUCCUACGGGAGGCAGCAGUAGGGAAUCUUCCGCAAUGGGCGAAAGCCUGACGGAGCAACGCCGCGUGAGUGAUGAAGGUCUUCGGAUCGUAAAACUCUGUUAUUAGGGAAGAACAAAUGUGUAAGUAACUGUGCACGUCUUGACGGUACCUAAUCAGAAAGCCACGGCUAACUACGUG